rnacentral:tRNA from 1 species
GGUUCAGUAGCUUCAGAGGUCCAGAGCAGGGGAUUCAUAAGCCCAAGGUCGCUGGUUCGAAUCCAGCCUGAACCA